rnacentral:rRNA from 1 species
UACGUAGGAUGCAAGCGUUAUCCGGAAUGAUUGGGCGUAAAGCGUCCGCAGGUGGCUGUGUAAGUCUGCUGUUAAAGAGUGAGGCUCAACCUCAUAAAAGCAGUGGAAACUACACGGCUAGAGUGCGUUCGGGGCAGAGGGAAUUCCUGGUGUAGCGGUGAAAUGCGUAGAUAUCAGGAAGAACACCGGUGGCGAAAAGCGCUCUGCUAGGCCGCAACUGACACUGAGGGACGAAAGCUAGGGGAGCGAAUGGG